rnacentral:rRNA from 1 species
GGGCGCAGCCUGGAUGCAGCCAUGGCCGCGGUGUAUGAAGAAGGCCCUAGGGUUGUAAAGUACUUUCAGUCGGGAGGAAGGCGUUGAUGCUAAUAUCAUCAGCGAUUGACGUUACCGACAGAAGAAGCACCGGCUAACUCCGUGCCAGCAGCCGCGGUAAUACGGAGGGUGCAAGCGUUAAUCGGAAUUACUGGGCGUAAAGCGCACGCAGGCGGUUGAUUAAGUUAGAUGUGAAAUCCCCGGGCUUAACCUGGGAAUGGCAUCUAAGACUGGUCAGCUAGAGUCUUGUAGAGGGGGGUAGAAUUCCAUGUGUAGCGGUGAAAUGCGUAUAGAUGUGGAGGAAUACCGGUG